GACGAACGCUGGCGGCGUGCCUAAUACAUGCAAGUCGAACGCAGUGGGGACGGGUGAGUAACACGUGGGUAACCUCCCAUCAGAGGGGAUAACACUUGGAAACAGGUGCUAAACCGAUACUGAUGGAUGAACCCGCGGUGCAUUAGCUAGUUGGAGGGGUAACGGCCCACCAAGGCGAUGAUCAGUAGCCGGUCUGAGAGGAUGAACGGCCACAUUGGGACUGAGACACGGUCCAGACUCCUACGGGAGGCAGCAGUGGGGAAUAUUGCGCAAUGGGGGCAACCCUGACGCAGCCAUGCCGCGUGAAUGAAGAAGGCCUUCGGGUUGUAAAGUUCUUUCGGUAGCGAGGCGUUAACUACAGAAGAAGCACCGGCUAACUCCGUGCCAGCCGCCGCGGUAAUUC
rnacentral:rRNA from 1 species